AGUGAACGCUGGCGGUAGGCCUAACACAUGCAAGUCGAACGGCAUCACAGUAAGAGUUUGCUCUUAUGGGUGGCGAGUGGCGGACGGGCGACGAAAACAUCGGAAUCUACUUUUUCGUGGGGGAUAACGAAGGGAGACCUACUCCAAUACCGCAUACGACCUUCGGGUGAAAGCAGGGGACCUUCGCACCUUGCGCGAUUGAAUGCGCCGAUGUCGGAUUAGCUAGUUGGCGGGGUAAAGGCCCACCAAGGCGACGAUCUGUAGCUGGUCCGAGAGGAUGAUAAGCCACCUGGGAAGUGAGACACGGUCCAGACUACUGCGGGAGGCAGCAGUGGGGAAUAGUGGACAGUGGGCGCAAACCUGCUACAAGCAUACCGAGUGGGUGAAGAAGCCCUUCGGGUUGUAAAGCCCUUUUGUUGGGACAGAAAAGCGGCAGGUUAAUACCCCGCUGCUCUGACGGUACCCAGAGAAUAAGCACCGGCUAACUUCGUG
rnacentral:rRNA from 1 species